UUACGGCCAUAUCACAUUGAAACACCUGUUCUCAUACAAUCACUGAAGUUAAGCAAUGUCAAGCCUGGUCAGUACCUGGAUGGGUGAUCAUUUAGGAAUACCAGGUGCUGUAA